UACGUAGGGGGCGAGCGUUGUCCGGAGUUACUGGGCGUAAAGCGCUUGUAGGCGGUCCACCAAGUUUGGGGUGACAGUUGCCGACUUAAUCGGCAAAGUGCCUCAAAGACUGGCGGACUUGAGGGCCACAGAGGGACAUGGAACUCCAGGUGUAGUGGUGAAAUGCGUAGAUAUCUGGAAGAACACCAAUGGCGAAGGCAAUGUUCUGGCUCGUUUCUGACGCUCAGGUGCGAAAGCCAGGGGAGCGAACGGG
rnacentral:rRNA from 1 species